rnacentral:misc_RNA from 1 species
GAAAUGUGAUAAGUAAUGUGAAUUGCAGAAUUCAGUGAAUCAUCGAAUCUUUGAACGCACCUUGCGCUCCUUGGUAUUCCUUGGAGCAUGCCUGUUUGAGUAUCAUGAAAUCUUCAAAGUAAAUCUUUUGUUAACUCAAUUGGUUUCUACUUUGGUAUUGGAGGUCUUUGCAGCUUCACACCUGCUCCUCUUUGUUCAUUAGCUGGAUCUCAGUGUUAUGCUUGGUUCCACUCGGCGUGAUAAGUUAUCUAUCGCUGAGGACACUGUAAAAGUUGGCCAAGGUAAAUGCAGAUGAACCGCUUCUAAUAGUCCAUUGACUUGGACAAUACUUUUAUGAUCUGAUCUCAAAUCAGGUAGGACUACCCGCUGAACUUAAGC